rnacentral:tRNA from 1 species
CACAUAGUUCAGUGGUAGAGCACUUGCCUGGCAUACAUGAGGUCGUGGGUUCAAUACCCAGCUGUG